AGCAAGCAGGGCGGUCGCUGGAUCCAGGGGGAAUCACGAGUUUCCUCAGUAAUAGGGGCUGCGCAGUGCCUAAUAUCCCAUCAGGCUACACCCGAGUGUCCCAGUAUCAGUCCUGGAUCAACAGUCAGAUUACCAUCAACCAGCCGGGCUAUUACACCUUCAUGUCCGCUGGGACUGACGGUGACCUCAGCGUCACCUGUUCUCCACCAAGAACUGCACGCUAACAGUGAUCUGGUGGUGAGCAGGGCGGCUCUCGGUUCCAGGCAGCGGGGUUAAUAGGUGGAAACAAGGCCUCCAACACCACCACCUUCCUGGUUAAUCUCCAGCCUCCAUCAGCAACACCAACAGCACCAGCACAGCUGCCGCCAACAUACCGACUACCAGCGGAGGCGCUCCUGCUCACUCCCCCUUCUUCUUCUUCUUCAUCCAUCUCCUCAUCUUCUCUGUGUGAGAGAUUCUGGAUGGAAACUGCUUUCUCUC